rnacentral:rRNA from 1 species
AGAUUGAACGCUGGCGGCAUGCUUUACACAUGCAAGUCGAACGGUAACAGGCCGCAAGGUGCUGACGAGUGGCGAACGGGUGAGUAAUGCAUCGGAACGUGCCCAGUCGUGGGGGAUAACGCAGCGAAAGCUGUGCUAAUACCGCAUACGAUCUAUGGAUGAAAGCGGGGGACCGAAAGGCCUCGCGCGAUUGGAGCGGCCGAUGUCAGAUUAGCUAGUUGGUGGGGUAAAGGCCCACCAAGGCGACGAUCUGUAGCUGGUCUGAGAGGACGACCAGCCACACUGGAACUGAGACACGGUCCAGACUCCUACGGGAGGCAGCAGUGGGAAUUUUGGACAAUGGGCGCAAGCCUGAUCCAGCAAUGCCGCGUGCAGGAAGAAGGCCUUCGGUGUAACUGCUUUGUAGGAACGAAACGGCUUAGGUAAUACGUCGGACUAAUGACGUACCGUAAGAAGUAAGACACCGGACUAACUACGUA